AGGCGGUACAAAGGGCUGCGAACCCGCGAGGGGGAGCGAAUCCCAAAAAGCCGCUCUCAGUUCGGAUUGCAGGCUGCAACUCGCCUGCAUGAAGCCGGAAUCGCUAGUAAUCGCGGAUCAGCAUGCCGCGGUGAAUACGUUCCCGGGCCUUGUACACACCGCCCGUCACACCACGAGAGCUUGCAACACCCGAAGUCGGUGCGGUAACCCUUACGGGAGCCAGCCGCCGAAGGUGGGGCAAGUGAUUGGGGUGAAGUCGUAACAAGGUAGCCGUACCGGAAGGUGCGGUUGAUCCACCCUAUAAA
rnacentral:rRNA from 1 species